CUGUUAAUUGUGGGUGUAUUUAGUGUGCAAUGGGGUUCAUACCUUAAUUUGCCAAAACGGGACCUCUGUUGAGGUAUAAAAUUCUGAAAAGAAUUGAAUAUUCCGUACUAAGGUACAUCCGGAACGUCUAGAGACUACACGGCAAACCAAUUUUGGUGGUAUGAAUGGAUAGUCCCUAGUAACCAUCUAGGCAUCCCAUACAAAAUGGUAA
rfam:Naegleria carteri S516 group I intron containing HEG gene for homing endonuclease